GUCAGUGGAUGAUUCUAUUGGCAGAGCAUGAGUCUCUUAAUCUCAAGGGUCGUGGGUUCGAUUCCCACGUUGGGCA